rnacentral:rRNA from 1 species
GACGAACCGUGCGAACGUUGUUCGGAAUCACUGGGUUUAAAGGGCGCGUAGGCGGGCUGUCAAGUCGGUGGUGAAAUCUUUCGGCUCAACCGGAAAAUCGCCUUCGAUACUGGCGGCCUUGAGGGAGGUAGGGGCAUGCGGAACUUCCGGUGGAGCGGUGAAAUGCGUAGAUAUCGGAAGGAACACCGAUGGCGAAAGCAGCGUGCUGGACCUUUUCUGACGCUGAGGCGCGAAAGCCAGGGGAGCAAAUGGG